AUUCACGUCAACCUCCAGGCAUCCUCCGCGGCGGGCCGGACCGGGCCGGCGGAGGGGAGCGGAAGCCCACCGGGGCUGGCCCGCCGCUGACCCGCCGCCUCCGUCUGCCUCCUCCCGGGCUCUGGGCCCAGCGCGCCCAGAUGCCGGGCAGGACCCCUCCGCCCGCUGCUGGAACACCAAUAGCAGCGUUGGAGCCUCUGGGCCGGAGGAACUGGGGCCUCCACCGACACCUGCUUCUUCCCUCACCUCGCAGCCUUCCACACCUGUUGAUCUGACCUCUGCCCCGCUGCCGCCCAGGAGUAACCUAAGGCUUUUGGCCUGAUUCGAGCUCACUCCGUCUAAACCUCUAAAUGCGGUGCGAAAAAAUCCUGGGGAAUGUGCCAUGCAAAGCCUGGGCAUUUCAAGUGCUUUUCUGGAUUCGCAUCAACUCCUCUUUACAGGCAUCUUUAUCCGGAAUUCAGCUCGUCCCAAACCCCACGUGGUGUAGCUCUGCUUGUGUUUUUGAAUCCCGGGGCCUCUUUGAAUCAGAAGCCCUUUGUAUAGAGAUAAGUAUCCUUUAGGCCAGAAUCAGCCUCCAUUUUUUUCGCAGUCCCAUUUCCUACCCGUAAUACUUUCUUCUGAUUUUAAAGCCAUUUGAUAGAGAAGGGACAGGGAACAGAACCUUCGCCCCCCGCCUGAGCAGCUGGUAGACUAGAUAUCUUCCAAACAUUAUCUCAUUUACUUCCCUGGAGUUACAAAUAGGUAGAUUUCAUGUCCGUUGAGGGGUGAGAAAGCUGAAACUUUGAGACUUAAGAAUCCUGGCCGAGGUCAGCCUCCUCCGAAGCUUCAUCUCUUGCCACCACUUUCUGGUGCACACCUAGGACAGAUUUCAAUCCCUGAGAUCCCAGGAUGAAACCUAUGUUUGCCAAAUACCAGCUACUGUGCCAGAAGAGAUCAUGGAACCAGGUGUGGAAAGCUGCUUGAGAAGAGGAGCCAAAACAUCAUAGUUGAACCGUCCUGGAAUAGAAACUCGCCCUGAAUUCUUUCUUGUGUGAAAUCCAAGAGCCCUCUCUUGGGGUUGGAUCGGGACCCUGUUCCUGUAACAAGUCCACAAUGCCAGAGAAUUAAAGAGAACCACAAAGCUGAACCUCAAAAAGUUAGCCUGGCGAGGGGAGGAUGAUGAGAUUUCCCCUGUUGUCACAUAAACAAGGAAGUAAAGGGGGCCCCUUGUGCUCUCAGAACUCCAAGCAUGAAACGAUAGCAAAGGGAAAAACAGCUAAGUGUUUCCUGGCUGAAUUUUAUUUUGCUUUCAGUUUCUGCCAUUUCAGUUCCUGUUAUCGUGCUUUGAGGUGCACUGAACUGCAGCAAACCCAGGGGAUCCAAGGCUACGUUGAAAAGCCUUUGACCACAGUGCAGGGAGCAGAAGACAUUAAUGACGUGAUGUCGACACAGCCCGCACUCAGGAUCCUCCAGGAAAAGAACACAGAGAUAACCCCGGAUCGAUGGUACUUUUUGAAAAUGCUUUAUUGCAAAAGAGUGGCUAGGGUUUUACAAGGGCUAUGAAGAAACAUAUUAAGGUUAAUAAAGCUUUUUAUUGAGUGUUUA
rnacentral:lncRNA from 1 species